rnacentral:rRNA from 1 species
GAUGAACGCUGGCGGCGUGCUUAAAACAUGCAAGUCGAGCGGAGCGGGCACGGGUGAGUAACACGUGGCUAACCUCCCAUAAGACUGGGAUAACUUCGGGAAACCGGAGCUAAACCGGAUACUUAUCGAUGGUUCCGCGGUGCCUUAGCUAGUUGGUAAGGUCACGGCUUACCAAGGCAACGCUGCAUAGCCGACCUGAGAGGGUGGUCGGCCAAACUGGAACUGAUACACGGUCCAGACCCCUACGGGAGGGAGGAGUAGGGAAUGUUCCGCAAUGGGCGAAAGCCUGACGGAGCAACGCCGCGUGAGUGAUGAAGGUCUUUGGAUCGUAAAACUCUGUUAUUAGGGAAACGGUACCUAAUCAGAAAGGCACGGCUAACUACGUGCCAGCAGCCGCGGUAAUAC